AAAGGUCGCUGUAGCACUUUGAUCUGCUGCAUGUUUUUGUCCUUUAAUCGGAUAGGAUUAAAGGAAACAUGCAGUAGAUUGCCC
rnacentral:sRNA from 1 species